AUACGUAGGGAGCAAGCGUUGUCCGGAAUUACUGGGCGUAAAGGGCGUGUAGGCGGCCGAUCAAGUCAGGUGUGAAAUUUCAGGGCUCAACCCUGAGCGUGCACUUGAAACUGGUUGGCUUGAGUGCAGAAGAGGAAAGUGGAAUUCCCAGUGUAGCGGUGAAAUGCGUAGAUAUUGGGAGGAACACCGGUGGCGAAGGCGACUUUCUGGUCGGUAACGGACGCUGAGGCGCGAAAGCUAGGGGAGCGAACAGGAUUAGAUACCCUGGUAGUCCUAGCCGUAAACGAUGGGUACUAGGUGUAGGGGGUUUAGACGCCCUCUGUGCCGCAGUUAACACAUUAAGUACCCCGCCUGGGGAGUACGGCCGCAAGGCUGAAACUCAAAGGAAUUGACGGGG
rnacentral:rRNA from 1 species